rnacentral:rRNA from 1 species
UGCUCCCUGAUGUUAGCCGGCGGACGGGUCGAGUCAACACGUGGGUAACCUGCCUGUAAGACUGGGAUAACUCCGGGAAACCAGGGCUAAUACCGGAUGCUUGAUUGAACCGCAUGGUUCAAUUAUAAAAGGUGGCUUUUAGCUACCGCUUACAGAUGGACCCGCGGCGCAUUAGCUAGUUGGUGAGGUAACGGCUCACCAAGGCAACGAUGCGUAGCCGACCUGAGAGGGUGAUCAGCCACACUGGGACUGAGACACGGCCCAAACUCCUACGGGAGGCAACACUAGGGAAUCUUCCGCAAUGGACAACAGUCUGACGGAACAACGCCCCGUGAGUGAUGAAGGUUUUCAGAUCUUAAAGCUCUGUUAUCAGGGAAGAACAAUUACCGUUCAAAUAGGGCGGUACCUUGACGGUACCUAACCAUAACGCCACGGCUAACUACAUGCCAGCAUCCGCGGUAAUACGUAGGUGGCAAGCGUUGUCCGGAAUUAUUGGGCGUAAAGCGCGCUCAGGCGGUUUCUUACGUCUGAUGUGAAAGCCCCCGGCUCAACCGGGGAGGGUCAUUGGAAACUGGGGAACUUGAGUGCUGAAGAAGAUAGUGGAAUUCCACGUGUAUCGAUGAAAUGCUUAAAGAUGUGGAGGAACACCAAUGGCGAAGGCGA